rnacentral:rRNA from 1 species
UUUCCGGUUGAUCCUGCCGGACCCGACUGCUAUUUGGGUGAGAAUUAGCCAUGCGAGUUGAAUGGGAUACCUAAAGUUCCCAUAGCAAACUGCUCAGUAACACAUGAUCAACUUGCCCUAUGGAGAAACAUAACCUCGGGAAACUGAGGAUAAUAUUUCAUAGUUGAAUAGGCUUGGAAAAGUUUUUCAAUAAAAGAGAUAAGAAAAAUGGUUCUUAUUUGCCAUAGGAUAGGAUCGUGCUCGAUUAUGGUUGUUGGUGAGGUAAAGGCUCACCAAGCCGAUAAUCGAUAGGGGCCGUGAGAGCGGGAGCCCCGAGAUGGGUGCUGAGACAACGACCCAGACCUUACGAGGUGCAGCAGGCGCGGGACCUCCGCAAUACACGAAAGUGUGACGGGGUUACCCAAAGUGUCCAAUAUUGGACUGUGGUAGGUGAGUAAUGUCCCCUACUAGAAAGGAGAGGGCAAGGCUGGUGCCAGCCGCCGCGGUAAAACCAGCUCUUCAAGUGGUCGGGAUGAUUAUUGGGCUUAAAGUGUCCGUAGCCGGUUUAGUAAGUUCCUGGUAAAAUCGAGUAGCUUAACUAUUUGUAUGCUAGGAAUACUGCUAUACUAGAGGGCGGGAGAGGUCUGAGGUACUACAGGGGUAGGGGUGAAAUCUUAUAAUCCUUGUAGGACCACCAGUGGCGAAGGCGUCAGACUGGAACGUGCCUGACGGUGAGGGACGAAAGCCAGGGGAGCGAACUGGAUUAGAUACCCGGGUAGUCCUGGCCGUAAACGAUGCAUACUAGGUGAUGGCACGGCCAUGAGCCGUGUCAGUGCCGUAGGGAAACCGUUAAGUGUGUCGCCUGGGAAGUACGGUCGCAAGGCUAAAACUUAAAGGAAUUGGCGGGGGAGCACCACAAGGGGUGAAGCCUGCGGUUCAAUUGGAUUCAACGCCGG